rnacentral:rRNA from 1 species
CAAUAGCGUAUAUUAAAGUUGUUGCAGUUAAAAGGCUCGUAGUUGGAUUUCUGGUCGGAAGCUCCUGUCCUCUGAUGAGCGUACAAGUGCGUCCUACCAUCCUUCUGUUAACCUUUAAGGCUUUCGCGGCUUUCUAGGGGCUCAGAUAUUUUACCUUGAGAAAAUUAGAGUGUUUCAGGCAGGCUAGCGCCGGAAUACAUUAGCAUGGAAUAAUGGAAUAGGACUUUUGCCUCUUCUGUUGGUCAUGAGGCUCGAGUAAUGAUUAAUAGGGAUAGUUGGGGGCAUUAGUACUUAACUGUCAGAGGUGAAAUUCUCGGAUUUGUUAAAGACUAACUUAUGCGAAAGCAUUUGCCAAGGAUGUUUUCAUUA